AAUAACAACUCAGUUUGAUAAAGUCUUCAUUGGAAAGAUCACAGAAAAAAAUGAAAAAUUCAGCGUAUAAACACAGAAGAGACGUUGAAUUUGACGUAGGACAAUGGGUAUUAAUUAAAUUAAACUUGCUCCAUAUAGACAAUUAAAAGUGGCAAGUAGAUUGAACAAUAAACUGAGUCAAAGAUAUUUUGGGCCUUAUCAGAUCAAGAAGAAAAUAAGUGCAGUGGCUUAUAAAAUCGCUUUACCUCAGGGGAGCAUGAUCCAUGAUGUAUUCCACAUUUCCAAGCUAAAAAAGCUCAAAGGAGACCCUCCGACAGUAGAAGAAGAGCAACCUGUAAUUGCAGUAAAAAAAUCAACCAAUUAUCUAUCCAUUGACAAUUAUUGAUAGCUAGCAGGAAAAUUCAUGUAGGAAAUAAGCAAAUUGAGCAAGUACUAGUGCAUUGGUCUGGAAUGCUACCGGAGGACUCAUCGUGAGAGGAACCAGAGCACCUACGACGUUCAUUUCCGUCUAUCCAACUUGAGGGCAAGCUGGAAAUCGAGGAGGGAAACCAUGAUAGGAGGAACAUUGACAUCGGCAUAGGAGGAGUUAUCGAAGAUGCAUGUGAGGAAGCUCGCGAAAGCCGAUAGGGAGACGCAGUCGGAGGAACACUCGUCGGAGGAAUUCAGAUCGGGCCGUCCAAUCUGGAGGAAGAAAGCUCCGAUUAAAUUUCAGGACUUUGCGAUGGAUUUU
rnacentral:lncRNA from 1 species